UACGUAGGCAGCAAGCGUUGUUCGGAGUUACUGGGCGUAAAGGGUGCGUAGGCGGCUUUUUAAGUUUGGUGUGAAAUCUCCCGGCUCAACUGGGAGGGUGCGCCGAAUACUGAGAGGCUAGAGUGUGGGGAGAGGAAAGUGGAAUUCCUGGUGUAGCGGUGAAAUGUGUAGAUAUCAGGAGGAACACCGGUGGUGUAAACGGCUUUCUGGACCAUAACUGACGCUGAUGCACGAAAGCGUGGGUAGCAAACAGG
rnacentral:rRNA from 1 species